GAGAACAAAGGCUUGCAAAUCUGCGUAGUGUAGUUACAAAUCACAGAGAGAAGAUCCAUCCGUAAUUUUUAUAUGGUUUAUGAAAUAAUUUUCCGUAGAAUGAAUGUUGGUAAUGAUCAUCACUGGUGUGAUUCCCUUCGUGUAGCUCCAUGAUUAUUGCCUGGAAACUGCAGAAGUUACUCAAAGGGUGACAAUGUAUGCAAAGCUAAGUGUGAGGUGUGCACGGGUGAAUAUAUAUACUUUUGUCGUCAAUAAAAGAAAAACCUGUGGCAUUUUUGCUAGAGUUCCGUAUGAGCUAUUGGGAAAAUAAUGUACUCUUUAUUGAUGAAUAUCAAAUGAAGUUCGUUCCGACAUUGUACGAAUUACAAACAUAAAAC
rnacentral:misc_RNA from 1 species